AGUGGCUUACGGGUGAGUAACACGUGGGUGACCUGCCUUUGAGUUUGGGAUAACUACUGGAAACGGUAGCUAAUACCGAAUGAUAUACAGUUUCGUUUCUGUAUUAAAAGAUGCUUUCAAGCAUCGCUCUUAGAUGGGCCUGCGGCGUAUUAGCUAGUUGGUGAGGUAAUGGCUCACCAAGGCAACGAUGCGUAGCCGGACUGAUAGGUUGAACGGCCACAUUGGGACUGAGACACGGCCCAAACUCCUACGGGAGACAGCAGUUAGGAAUAUUCGUCAAUGGUGGAAACCCUGAACGAACAAUGCCGCGUGAGUGAUGAAGGUCCUUUGGAUUGUAAAACUCUUGUUGUAUGGGAAGAACGACCAGAAUAAGAAAUGAUUCUGGAGUGACGGCACCAUGCCAGAAAGCUCCGGCUAACUACGGUGCCGGCCGCCGGGGGUAAUACGUAGGGAGCGAGCGUUUUUCCGGAUUUAUUGGGCGUAAAGGGUGCGUAGGGGGCUUGUUAAGUAUGAAAUUAAAGCCGGGGGUUUACUCCGGUUCGUUUCAUAAACUGGCAGGCUUGAGUAUGGAAGAGGCAAACGGAAUUUCUAGUGUAGCGGUGGAAUGCGUAGAUAUUAGAAGGAACACCAGUGGCGAAGGCGGUUUGCUGGGCCAUUACUGACGCUGAGGCACGAAAGCGUGGGGAGCAAAUAGGAUUAGAUACCCUAGUAGUCCACGCUGUAAACGAUGAAUACUAGGUGUGGGAGGACUGACCCCUUCCGUGCCGCAGUUAACACAAUAAGUAUUCCACCUGGGGAGUACGACCGCAAGGUUGAAACUCAAAGGAAUUGACGGGGGCCCGCACAAGCAGUGGAUUAUGUGGUUUAAUUCGACGCAACGCGAAGAACCUUACCAGGGUUUGACAUCCAACUAACGAAGUAGAGAUACAUUAGGUGCCCUUCGGGGAAAGUUGAGACAGGUGGUGCAUGGUUGUCGUCAGCUCGUGUCGUGAGAUGUUGGGUUAAGUCCCGCAACGAGCGCAACCCCUAUUGUUAGUUGCUACGCAAGAGCACUCUAGCGAGACUGCCGUUGACAAAACGGAGGAAGGCGGGGACGACGUCAAAUCAUCAUGCCCCUUAUAUCCUGGGCUACACACGUAAUACAAUGGUGGUAAACAGAGGGAAGCAGAGCCGCGAGAUGGAGCAAAUCCCUAAAAGCCAUCUCAGUUCGGAUUGCAGGCUGCAACUCGCCUGCAUGAAGCUGGAAUAGAGAGUAAUCGCGGAUCAGCAUGCCGCGGUGAAUA
rnacentral:rRNA from 1 species